rnacentral:rRNA from 1 species
AGAGUUUGAUCCUGGCUCAGGACGAACGCUGGCGGCGUGCUUAACACAUGCAAGUCGAACGGGGUUAGAGAGCUUGCUCUUUAACUUAGUGGAGAACGGGUGAGUAACCCGUGAGGAACCUGCCUUUCAGUGGGGGACAACGGUUGGAAACGACUGCUAAUACCGCAUAAUGCUAUCGAGUGGCAUCACUUGAUAGCCAAAGAUUUAUUGCUGAAAGAUGGCCUCGCGUCUGAUUAGCUAGUUGGUGGGGUAACGGCCCACCAAGGCGACGAUCAGUACCCGAACUGACAGGUUGACCGGCCACAUUGGGACUGAGAUACCGCCCAGACUCCUACGGGAGGCAGCAGUGGGGAAUAUUGAGCAAUGGACGAAAGCCUGACCCAGCAACGCCGCGUGAAGGAAGAAGGCCUUGCGGGUUGUAAACUUCUUUUACCUCGGCCGAAGAAAAUGACGGUACCUGGAGAAAAAGCAACGGCUAACUACGUGCCAGCACCCGCGGUAAUACGUAGGUUGCAAGCGUUGUCCGGAAUUACUGGGUGUAAAGGGCGUGUAGGCGGAGAUUCAAGUUUGGAGUGAAAUCCAUGGGCUCUACCCAUGAACUGCUUUCAAAACUGCAUCCCUUGAGUAUCGGAGAGGCAAGCGGAAUUCCUAGUGUAGCGGUGAAAUGCGUAGAUAUUAGGAGGAACCCCCGUGGCGAAGGCGGCUUGUUGGACGACAACUGACCCUGAGGCCCGAAAGCGUGGGGAGCCAAAAGGAUUAGAUACCCUGGUAGUCCACGCUGUAAGCGAUGUAUUCUAGGUGUGGGAGGACUGCCCCCUUCGGUGCCGCAGUUACCACAAUAAGUAUUCCUCGUGGGGAGUAUGGCCGCAGGGUUGAUACUCAAAGGAAUUGGCGGGGGCCCGCACAAGCAGUGGAUUAUGUGGUUUAAUUAGACGCGACGCGAAGAUCCUUUCCGGGAUUCUGUACAUCCAGCCUCUCGACGCAGAGAUGCAUUUGGUGCCCUUCGGGGAAAGUUGAGACAGGUGGUGCAUGUGUGUGUUGUCAGCUUGUGUCGAGAGAGUGUUGGGUUCAAGUCCCGCAGCGCGCGCAACCCCUUAUAUGUUAGUUGCUACGAGAGAGCACUCUAGAGAGACUGCCGUGGACAAAACGGAGGAAGGCGGGGACGACGUCAAAUCAUCAUGCCCCUUAUGUCUUGGGCUACACACGUAAUACAAUGGCCGUCACCAAAGGGAAGCAAAUCCGGGAGGGGGAGCAAUCCCCCAAAAACGGUCUCAGUUCGGAUUGCAGGCUGCAACUCGCCUGCAUGAAGCUGGAAUUGCUAGUAAUCGUGGAUCAGCAUGCCACGGUGAAUACGUUCCCGGGCCUUGCACACACCGCCCGUCA